rnacentral:rRNA from 1 species
AUUAAACGACUCUCGGCAACGGAUAUCUCGGCUCUCGCAUCGAUGAAGAACGUAGCGAAAUGCGAUACUUGGUGUGAAUUGCAAAAUCCCGUGAACCAUCUAGUCUUUGAACGCAAGUUGCGCCCGAAGCCUUCGGGCCGAGGGCACGUCUGCCUGGGCGUC